AGGAAGCAUUCAUAGGAUCUUCCAGCACCAUGAAGGCUAAGCUAUGGAUGAAGCUUCCUGUUGUGAAUUUAAAAGAGCUUUAGUUCAGAUCCAGUCUUGUAUUUGGACUAAUCUUGUUGGUAUCCCAUGACAACAAGAAAGAUGCGAAGGCAAAGAGCGCAGGACUUGAAGUCUUGAAAAAAGUCAGCCCCUUCUGUGUGCUCCUACAGCAUUCAUACCAGCUUCCUGGGCCUUAGGAAGGAGGUCCUUCCACAGUCAGACAAUCUAUCACUUGAAACCCUGGGAAAAGAUGUGUUUUCUCAGCUCUAGUGAGAUUGUCUUAUGGGAGAAGUUCUGCACAGUACAAGUUCAAGGAACCCAGUGGGGUAAUUUAGAAGCAAUCCACCAGUUUUGACAACACUAUAUAGAAGUUGUGCUUACCGUUGAAAAUUAAAGCCACUGAAAGCGUUGACAACAGCAAAAGUGUGAAUGCUUGCCGGCUCCUGAACUGAUUGCUAUUCCAGUUUGUUUAGAGCCACUUAUUGUGUUUGCAAUGCCGUCAGUUCUACUUAGAGACUACCCGACGCCAAUGCU